rnacentral:rRNA from 1 species
GACGAACGCUGGCGGCGUGCUUAACACAUGCAAGUCGAACGGAAAGGCCCUGCUUUUGUGGGGUGCUCGAGUGGCGAACGGGUGAGUAACACGUGAGUAACCUGCCCUUGACUUUGGGAUAACUUCAGGAAACUGGGGCUAAUACCGGAUAGGAGCUCCUGCUGCAUGGUGGGGGUUGGAAAGUUUCGGCGGUUGGGGAUGGACUCGCGGCUUAUCAGCUUGUUGGUGGGGUAGUGGCGUACCAAGGCUUUGACGGGUAGCCGGCCUGAGAGGGUGACCGGCCACAUUGGGACUGAGAUACGGCCCAGACGCCUACGGGAGGCAGCAGUGGGGAAUAUUGCACAAUGGGCGGAAGCCUGAUGCAGCGACGCCGCGUGCGGGAUGACGGCCUUCGGGUUGUAAACCGCUUUCGCCUGUGACGAAGCGUGAGUGACGGUAAUGGGUAAAGAAGCACCGGCUAACUACGUG